rnacentral:misc_RNA from 1 species
GGGCAAUGCUCCCCUCUAGGGUGGAUGGGAACUCACAUAAAUGGAUUGAUGUUGGAAAUAGAGGCGAAACAGGUAAGCUACAGGGAAGAAGAUGAGUAGAAGAAGCCAUUGCUUUUCGAUUUUACCUAGAGAAAAAGAAGUUCUUUGCCACGAGUGAGUCUACAAGAAAGGCAGCAGGAAAUAACAAUAUUAAGAUUGUUCACGAUGUGCCUCUCAUGCCUGGUAAUUUGUGCUUGAGUGCUUUGACCAUGCUUUUGCAGGUCAUUCCUGAUGAAAUUGGUUACCAAUUACUACACAACUACACUGACCAAAUUUAAAACGUGGGAUGGAUCUGCAACAUUUAUUUUCAAGCUUCAAGAUUAUUUACCAGGUAAGUUACGAUCUUUGUUUAUAUUUUGAUCACACAACCAGUCUAUCGAACUUGAAAAAAAUGCCAUUUACCAGAGAUUGCAUUGCAUUAAAUUUUGCAAGAUUUCAU